UCAUAUGCUUGUCUCAAAGAUUAAGCCAUGCAUGUCUAAGUACAUGCCUAAGCAAGGUGAAACCGCGAAUGGCUCAUUAAAUCAGUUAUGGUUCCUUAGAUCGUACCUUUUUACUUGGAUAACUGUGGUAAUUCUAGAGCUAAUACAUGCAGCAGAGCUCCGACCUUCGGGGACGAGCGCUUUUAUUAGACCAAGACCAAUCGGGCUUCGGUCCGAACCUCCUGGUGACUCUGGAUAACUUUGAGCAGAUCGCACGGUCUCGUACCGGCGACGCAUCUUUCAAGUGUCUGCCUUAUCAACUGUCGAUGGUAGGUUAUGCGCCUACCAUGGUCGUAACGGGUAACGGGGAAUCAGGGUUCGAUUCCGGAGAGGGAGCCUGAGAAACGGCUACCACAUCCAAGGAAGGCAGCAGGCGCGCAAAUUACCCACUCCCGGCACGGGGAGGUAGUGACGAAAAAUAACAAUACGGGACUCUAUUGAGGCCUCGUAAUUGGAAUGAGUACACUCUAAAUCCUUUAACGAGGAUCUAUUGGAGGGCAAGUCUGGUGCCAGCAGCCGCGGUAAUUCCAGCUCCAAUAGCGUAUAUUAAAGUUGUUGCGGUUAAAAAGCUCGUAGUUGGAUCUCAGUUCCAGACGGGUGGUCCACCGCCCGGUGGCUACUGCCCGGCCUGAACAAUCUCGCCGGUUUUCCUUGAUUCUCUUCACCGAGUGUCUUGGGUGACCGGCACGUUUACUUUGAAAAAAUUAGAGUGCUUAAAGCAGGCGUAACGCCAGAAUAAUGGUGCAUGGAAUAAUGGAAUAGGACCUCGGUUCUAUUUUGUUGGUUUUCGGAACACGAGGUAAUGAUUAAGAGGGACAGACGGGGGCAUUCGUAUUGCGACGCUAGAGGUGAAAUUCUUGGACCGUCGCAAGACGAACUACU
rnacentral:rRNA from 4 species